GGAUGUCAAAGCAUCAAAAAUCAUAGAUCUCCACAGGAUGCCGUAAUGAAUAGUGCCAUGUUGUCCUGAGGAGAUACAAGA
rnacentral:snoRNA from 1 species